GAUUAAGUUAUUAAGGGCGCACGGUGGAUGCCUUGGCACUAGAAGCCGAUGAAGGACGUUACUAACGACGAUAUGCUUUGGGGAGCUGUAAGUAAGCUUUGAUCCAGAGAUUUCCGAAUGGGGAAACCCAGCAUGAGUUAUGUCAUGUUAUCGAUAUGUGAAUACAUAGCAUAUCAGAAGGCACACCCGGAGAACUGAAACAUCUUAGUACCCGGAGGAAGAGAAAGAAAAUUCGAUUCCCUUAGUAGCGGCGAGCGAAACGGGAAGAGCCCAAACCAACAAGCUUGCUUGUUGGGGUUGUAGGACACUCUAUACGGAGUUACAAAGGACGACAUUAGACGAAUCAUCUGGAAAGAUGAAUCAAAGAAGGUAAUAAUCCUGUAGUCGAAAAUGUUGUCUCUCUUGAGUGGAUCCUGAGUACGACGGAGCACGUGAAAUUCCGUCGGAAUCUGGGAGGACCAUCUCCUAAGGCUAAAUACUCUCUAGUGACCGAUAGUGAACCAGUACCGUGAGGGAAAGGUGAAAAGCACCCCGGAAGGGGAGUGAAAUAGAACCUGAAACCGUGUGCUUACAAGUAGUCAGAGCCCGUUAAUGGGUGAUGGCGUGCCUUUUGUAGAAUGAACCGGCGAGUUACGAUUUGAUGCAAGGUUAAGCAGUAAAUGUGGAGCCGUAGCGAAAGCGAGUCUGAAUAGGGCGUUUAGUAUUUGGUCGUAGACCCGAAACCAGGUGAUCUACCCUUGGUCAGGUUGAAGUUCAGGUAACACUGAAUGGAGGACCGAACCGACUUACGUUGAAAAGUGAGCGGAUGAACUGAGGGUAGCGGAGAAAUUCCAAUCGAACCUGGAGAUAGCUGGUUCUCUCCGAAAUAGCUUUAGGGCUAGCCUCAAGUGAUGAUUAUUGGAGGUAGAGCACUGUUUGGACGAGGGGCCCCUCUCGGGUUACCGAAUUCAGACAAACUCCGAAUGCCAAUUAAUUUAACUUGGGAGUCAGAACAUGGGUGAUAAGGUCCGUGUUCGAAAGGGAAACAGCCCAGACCACCAGCUAAGGUCCCAAAAUAUAUGUUAAGUGGAAAAGGAUGUGGCGUUGCCCAGACAACUAGGAUGUUGGCUUAGAAGCAGCCAUCAUUUAAAGAGUGCGUAAUAGCUCACUAGUCGAGUGACACUGCGCCGAAAAUGUACCGGGGCUAAACAUAUUACCGAAGCUGUGGAUUGUCCUUUGGACAAUGGUAGGAGAGCGUUCUAAGGGCGUUGAAGCAUGAUCGCAAGGACAUGUGGAGCGCUUAGAAGUGAGAAUGCCGGUGUGAGUAGCGAAAGACGGGUGAGAAUCCCGUCCACCGAUUGACUAAGGUUUCCAGAGGAAGGCUCGUCCGCUCUGGGUUAGUCGGGUCCUAAGCUGAGGCCGACAGGCGUAGGCGAUGGAUAACAGGUUGAUAUUCCUGUACCACCUAUAAUCGUUUUAAUCGAUGGGGGGACGCAGUAGGAUAGGCGAAGCGUGCGAUUGGAUUGCACGUCUAAGCAGUAAGGCUGAGUAUUAGGCAAAUCCGGUACUCGUUAAGGCUGAGCUGUGAUGGGGAGAAGACAUUGUGUCUUCGAGUCGUUGAUUUCACACUGCCGAGAAAAGCCUCUAGAUAGAAAAUAGGUGCCCGUACCGCAAACCGACACAGGUAGUCAAGAUGAGAAUUCUAAGGUGAGCGAGCGAACUCUCGUUAAGGAACUCGGCAAAAUGACCCCGUAACUUCGGGAGAAGGGGUGCUCUUUAGGGUUAACGCCCAGAAGAGCCGCAGUGAAUAGGCCCAAGCGACUGUUUAUCAAAAACACAGGUCUCUGCUAAACCGUAAGGUGAUGUAUAGGGGCUGACGCCUGCCCGGUGCUGGAAGGUUAAGAGGAGUGGUUAGCUUCUGCGAAGCUACGAAUCGAAGCCCCAGUAAACGGCGGCCGUAACUAUAACGGUCCUAAGGUAGCGAAAUUCCUUGUCGGGUAAGUUCCGACCCGCACGAAAGGCGUAACGAUUUGGGCACUGUCUCAACGAGAGACUCGGUGAAAUCAUAGUACCUGUGAAGAUGCAGGUUACCCGCGACAGGACGGAAAGACCCCGUGGAGCUUUACUGUAGCCUGAUAUUGAAAUUCGGCACAGCUUGUACAGGAUAGGUAGGAGCCUUUGAAACGUGAGCGCUAGCUUACGUGGAGGCGCUGGUGGGAUACUACCCUAGCUGUGUUGGCUUUCUAACCCGCACCACUUAUCGUGGUGGGAGACAGUGUCAGGCGGGCAGUUUGACUGGGGCGGUCGCCUCCUAAAAGGUAACGGAGGCGCUCAAAGGUUCCCUCAGAAUGGUUGGAAAUCAUUCAUAGAGUGUAAAGGCAUAAGGGAGCUUGACUGCGAGACCUACAAGUCGAGCAGGGUCGAAAGACGGACUUAGUGAUCCGGUGGUUCCGCAUGGAAGGGCCAUCGCUCAACGGAUAAAAGCUACCCCGGGGAUAACAGGCUUAUCUCCCCCAAGAGUUCACAUCGACGGGGAGGUUUGGCACCUCGAUGUCGGCUCAUCGCAUCCUGGGGCUGUAGUCGGUCCCAAGGGUUGGGCUGUUCGCCCAUUAAAGCGGUACGCGAGCUGGGUUCAGAACGUCGUGAGACAGUUCGGUCCCUAUCCGUCGUGGGCGUAGGAAAUUUGAGAGGAGCUGUCCUUAGUACGAGAGGACCGGGAUGGACAUACCUCUGGUGUACCAGUUGUCGUGCCAACGGCAUAGCUGGGUAGCUAUGUGUGGACGGGAUAAGUGCUGAAAGCAUCUAAGCAUGAAGCCCCCCUCAAGAUGAGAUUUCCCAACUUCGGUUAUAAGAUCCCUCAAAGAUGAUGAGGUUAAUAGGUUCGAGGUGGAAGCAUGGUGACAUGUGGAGCUGACGAAUACUAAUCGAUCGAAGACUUAAUCAA
rnacentral:rRNA from 1 species